rnacentral:rRNA from 1 species
CCUACGGGGGGCUGCAGUGAGGAAUAUUGGUCAAUGGACGAGAGUCUGAACCAGCCAAGUAGCGUGAAGGAUGACUGCCCUAUGGGUUGUAAACUUCUUUUAUAUGGGAAUAAAAUGUUCCACGUGUGGGAUUUUGUAUGUACCAUAUGAAUAAGGAUCGGCUAACUCCGUGCCAGCAGCCGCGGUAAUACGGAGGAUCCGAGCGUUAUCCGGAUUUAUUGGGUUUAAAGGGAGCGUAGGUGGAUUGUUAAGUCAGUUGUGAAAGUUUGCGGCUCAACCGUAAAAUUGCAGUUGAAACUGGCAGUCUUGAGUACAGUAGAGGUGGGCGGAAUUCGUGGUGGAGCGGUGAAAUGCUUAGAUAUCACGAAGAACUCCGAUUGCGAAGGCAGUUCACUGGACUGCAACUGACACUGAGGCUCGAAAGUGUGGGUAUCAAACAGGAUUAGAUACCCGUGUAGUC